CGUAGGGUGCAAGCGUUAAUCGGAAUUACUGGGCGUAAAAGCGUGCGCAGGCGGUUUUGUAAGUCUGACGUGAAAUCCCCGGGCUCAACCUGGGAAUUGCGUUGGAGACUGCAAGGCUAGAAUCUGGCAGAGGGGGGUAGAAUUCCACGUGUAGCAGUGAAAUGCGUAGAGAUGUGGAGGAACACCGAUGGCGAAGGCAGCCCCCUGGGUCAAGAUUGACGCUCAUGCACGAAAGCGUGGGAGCAAACAGGAUU
rnacentral:rRNA from 1 species